GGGGUUGUGGCUCAGUGGUAGAGCACUAGCCUAGCACGUGUGAGGCCCUGGGUUCGAUUCUCAGAACCACA
rfam:Ictidomys tridecemlineatus contig001992, whole genome shotgun sequence.